GCCAUCCACUCGGUCUGUGCAACAGCUCAGGUCCUCACCACAAAGUACAACAACAGUAACGUGGAUGGAGGCGAUGGUGCCGCCGUACCUACAGUAAUAAGGGCAUGUCUACGCAUGUCUUCUGCAGAAAACCGCUGUUAUGUCCGGUAUCCAUGGAUCUAUUAAAAUAACUGGUAUCAUGUCAGUCGAUUGCAGCAUUACUUUUGUACCACUGAAAAUUUAAAACGGUAAUCGAGCAGCAGAAAGAAAGUUUGGAGUGAGCAAAAACAUGUGAGGGACUGUCAAAAGGCGGGGAUGCAGAACACAGCUUCAAGGCCACUGGGAGGAUGCGCCAUGCAACUUUCCUGAAAUUCAUUGGAUGGAUCGACAAAGCCUGGACUCCAGUGACACCAAAACCAUCCUGUUGGGAUUCAGAAAGGCCGGAAUAAUUCUAACUGGAACUGAUGCUGAGUCUGACGACAGCUACACAGAAGAGGAAGCGGCACUAUGUUUACCUCCGGAGUUCACGGAGUUGCUCAGAACUGACACCGAGGAUAAAGAAUUCAAUGGAUUUAGAGCAAAAAUAUAAACCGGGACGAGGGUGCUUUUUUACUCUCACAUGCCUGGGUAACCAUCCUGAGGAAGUCGAACUGCAGAUGGCGCUGUCGUCCUGCCUCCACUGGUAAGAAGACAGCGCCAGUAUAAAUCAGCUGACCGGACACGUCACAGCAACAUCACGUGUCCACUCUGAGGAAGACCGCAGGGAGCAGCCAAAACUGUCAGGUAUGAAAACAAAACUCUGAAAAAAAGAACCUAAUAACAUAAAUUAUCGGAAGACCGAAUGAACCAGAUGUUAUAUUUUAUUACUUAUCUUUUGACUUGUACAUAGUUUUUGCUUUAUUUG